UUGAGUUGGUUCCGCUCGCCGCUCUGCCUUCGCCGGCGGCGGGAGGAGGAUGGAGGCGACGGCGGGGAGGUGGCGAGUCUACGGCCGGAGAGGGAAGAGAUCGAUGGGCUGCGCAGAGUCGCAGAUCAGGGCCAGUCCUAGGGCUCCUUCUUCGCGUGCGGGAGAGGGCGACGUGGUGGCGGGGACAGGAGCAGGCUGCGGCGGCGGCGGCGGCGGUGCCAACCUGGUACGCCGUGUGGGAAUGGUUUCACGCCGGCCGGUGUGAUCUGUCGGUACAGCCGCCACCUCCUUCUCCCCGACUUCCGAGCCGAAGGUGCAAAUGGUCCUAAAAGAAAAUGUAGUAUAUGCUGUAACAGUUCGAUUGUCAGCAUCAAUGAGAUCAGGGAGUACAUGUUAGUUGACAUUCCAUGCUGAGAGCAGGUUAAGAUUAGAGGCUGAGCUGUUUGCACGGUUGUGGAGAAAAUUCAGUUUUUUCCACAAGAUGAUUUCAGAAGUUUGAUUGCGAGAACUUCACCCAAUCCCCAAUAUCUGUUAAGUCAGCGCCAAAUAUGCACAUAUAUACUUCCAGAAAGUGACCGCAUCACUUGUAAAGACUGCAAAAUGCUUGUUGAUAAUGGUGAACCACAUUGCUGGAUGUACGACCUACCGAUCAUUUCCAAAUAGCUUCAGUUUGCCAAUCUCUGAACAUUCCGCUCUCCAGUUGGAGGAGAAGCCUCAUAUGCUUGAAUCCUUAUUGAAGUAAAACACGGACACCUCCACCUCGGACAAACUGCCUUCCCUAUAUGUUAUUUUCCGAGAAGGCAAUGACUCUCAAAAGAGCUAUCUAGUUUCUCCGGGAGAAGGGGCUUCUUUCAGCAAAGAUGUAACUGUGGAUUGCAGUCCUGGGCACAAGAUGUUGAUCCUGGUUUCCUGUGUAUUGGUUGAGACUCUAUGCUCAACAUUCAAUCUUGAUACUAAGAGUAAAUGUAAGAUAUUGUACUCAACUCAAGAUAUGCUUGGGUUAUUCAAGGUGUAUCUGGUAACUGUUUGAAUACGCUCACACUCACGGUGCUCUUGUUGCAAGAUUUGUAUUUUUGCUUUUGUGAGUUAUGCUUUACACACAUGAAUAUAAAUGUACAAGACCUGUAACUUGUAUCUAGAGACAAUGGCACUGAACUUUUUUGUUGUUGGAAAAGAUCAUACAAUUGAUGAUCACAAU